rnacentral:lncRNA from 1 species
AUGCAGGAGACAGCAGCAGCUGCAUGUGACACCCACAGCAGUGCAGGGUUUAGUCUGAGUUUAACUUCAGCUCUGGGAGGAGCCAGGCUGAUGGUGUUCAGGGAUUCACUGUGUUCCUUUUUUGGGGGGUUUGGCGUGGGCAGGGCUCUCUCUGGGGCAGCACAGGUGGUUGGGGUGGUGCCUGAGCUGCUCCUCCAGCCUGCUGUGCCCCAGAUCCUGGGUGUGCUGCAGGCUCUGAGGCCUCAGCAGCCCCAGCCCAGCCAGGAGCAUCACCAGGGGCUCCCCGGGUGGCCAGGUCUCCUUUGCAGCGUGUCUCACCUUAGCCUUACUCCAGGGCACGCAGAAAGCAAGGGCAGAACUUGGAAACCCGGGAAGCUGUUUUUGCCCAUCCUUCUUCUACAGAUAAGGGCUCAACUCCAUCCUUGCAGCUGUGUCAGCCUGGUGUGUGCUGCUGGAGCCCCUCCUCAGGUGGCUUUGGGGAGGAGAGAGCUGUUAAUGAAGGAUUUGCCUCCUCGGGGUUCUUUCUCUGCUUUGAAGAGCACCCAGCUCAGCUGUGCACUUUAUCCCUCUGCCUCCCCUUCCUCUGCAAAGUCCCCCUUUUUAAGCAGGCUCAGGACAAGUGAGGGACACUUGUCCACACCCAGCAGUGUCAUCCCCCUGCCACCCGUGUCCCCUGCCUGUCCUUGUGCUGCUGCCAUCCAGGGCAGCACGCUGGGAAGGGGGACACGGGGCCCUCAGGGCUUCCUCCAACUUUUACCACUUUUAGGCACUUUUUUUGUCCCCUGUCUGGGUUUGCACAGCGGUGCUGAGGCCCCAGCACUGUGGCAGGGGAUCACUGCUCCUUCACAGCCGUGCCGUCCAUGCCAGGCCACCAGUGGGACCUGGGGGCCACCAGACUUGUCUGGGUACUGCCAGCCUGACCCAGGUGCUGCCAGUGGGACCUGGGUGCCACUGGUGUCACCUGAGUGCUUCCAGUGUGACCCAGGUGCUGCCCAGGUGCCACCAGGGUGA